rnacentral:lncRNA from 1 species
GGACAGUUGAAGACCAGGCACAUAUUUCGAACUAUGUUAAAUAUCAUCCCAGGAGAGAUGAUGAUUUUAAAGAUGGAGAUUUGUAAGAACCAGCUUAUACCUCAACUGCUAACUCGAAAGGACACUAUAAAAAUUAACAAGGAAGGGAUAGUUAAAGAGGUUUGGGCACCAAAAAUUCAGAGAGAAAGUAAGAUAGAUUACAAGCUACUGGAUGUAAUGGAUUUCCCUGUGUCUUAUAAAACUACAAUAUAUAUAUAUAUAUAUAUAUAACAUUAUAAAUAUGAUAUGUCCCAAAUGAGAA